CCUGACGGUAGUCGUAUGGCUCGUCUCCGAGACUAAGCCAUGCAAGUCCAAGUACACGUCCUUGAACGACGGAAACUGCGAACGGCUCAUUAAAUCAGUUGCGAUCUACUCGGCGUUCCGCGCCGCCGGAUAACCGUAGUAAUUCUAGGGCUAAUACGUGCGAAGCGCCCGAAGCCGCGAGGCGACGGGCGUUCUCGCCGGAUGUAGGAACCGACCCGGGGACCGCCGGGGCAACCCGGCGCCCCCGAGACGGGGCGAACCACGGUGAAAUGACGGAUCGUCGGCCCCGCGCCGGCGACUCGCCGAAUGAGUUUCUGACCUAUCAACUCGAGACGGCGGGGUAGAGGCCCGCCGCGGUAACGACGGGUAACGGGGAAUCAGGGUUCGAUUCCGGAGAGGGGAGCCCCGAGAAACGGCUACCACUUCCAAGGAAGGCAGCAGGCGCGCAACUUACCCCUAAUCUCGAUUCGAGGAGGUAGUGACAAG
rnacentral:rRNA from 1 species